rnacentral:rRNA from 1 species
UUAAGCGACUAAGCGUACACGGUGGAUGCCCUGGCAGUCAGAGGCGAUGAAGGACGUGCUAAUCUGCGAUAAGCGUCGGUAAGGUGAUAUGAACCGUUAUAACCGGCGAUUUCCGAAUGGGGAAACCCAGUGUGAUUCGUCACACUAUCAUUAACUGAAUCCAUAGGUUAAUGAGGCGAACCGGGGGAACUGAAACAUCUAAGUACCCCGAGGAAAAGAAAUCAACCGAGAUUCCCCCAGUAGCGGCGAGCGAACGGGGAGNCCAUCCUCCAAGGCUAAAUACUCCUGACUGACCGAUAGUGAACCAGUACCGUGAGGGAAAGGCGAAAAGAACCCCGGCGAGGGGAGUGAAAAAGAACCUGAAACCGUGUACGUACAAGCAGUGGGAGCACGCUUAGGCGUGUGACUGCGUACCUUUUGUAUAAUGGGUCAGCGACUUAUAUUCUGUAGCAAGGUUAACCGAAUAGGGGAGCCGAAGGGAAACCGAGUCUUAACUGGGCGUUAAGUUGCAGGGUAUAGACCCGAAACCCGGUGAUCUAGCCAUGGGCAGGUUGAAGGUUGGGUAACACUAACUGGAGGACCGAACCGACUAAUGUUGAAAAAUUAGCGGAUGACUUGUGGCUGGGGGUGAAAGGCCAAUCAAACCGGGAGAUAGCUGGUUCUCCCCGAAAGCUAUUUAGGUAGCGCCUCGUGAAUUCAUCUCCGGGGGUAGAGCACUGUUUCGGCAAGGGGGUCAUCCCGACUUACCAACCCGAUGCAAACUGCGAAUACCGGAGAAUGUUAUCACGGGAGACACACGGCGGGUGCUAACGUCCGUCGUGAAGAGGGAAACAACCCAGACCGCCAGCUAAGGUCCCAAAGUCAUGGUUAAGUGGGAAACGAUGUGGGAAGGCCCAGACAGCCAGGAUGUUGGCUUAGAAGCAGCCAUCAUUUAAAGAAAGCGUAAUAGCUCACUGGUCGAGUCGGCCUGCGCGGAAGAUGUAACGGGGCUAAACCAUGCACCGAAGCUGCGGCAGCGACGCUUAUGCGUUGUUGGGUAGGGGAGCGUUCUGUAAGCCUGCGAAGGUGUGCUGUGAGGCAUGCUGGAGGUAUCAGAAGUGCGAAUGCUGACAUAAGUAACGAUAAAGCGGGUGAAAAGCCCGCUCGCCGGAAGACCAAGGGUUCCUGUCCAACGUUAAUCGGGGCAGGGUGAGUCGACCCCUAAGGCGAGGCCGAAAGGCGUAGUCGAUGGGAAACAGGUUAAUAUUCCUGUACUUGGUGUUACUGCGAAGGGGGGACGGAGAAGGCUAUGUUGGCCGGGCGACGGUUGUCCCGGUUUAAGCGUGUAGGCUGGUUUUCCAGGCAAAUCCGGAAAAUCAAGGCUGAGGCGUGAUGACGAGGCACUACGGUGCUGAAGCAACAAAUGCCCUGCUUCCAGGAAAAGCCUCUAAGCAUCAGGUAACAUCAAAUCGUACCCCAAACCGACACAGGUGGUCAGGUAGAGAAUACCAAGGCGCUUGAGAGAACUCGGGUGAAGGAACUAGGCAAAAUGGUGCCGUAACUUCGGGAGAAGGCACGCUGAUAUGUAGGUGAAGUCCCUUGCGGAUGGAGCUGAAAUCAGUCGAAGAUACCAGCUGGCUGCAACUGUUUAUUAAAAACACAGCACUGUGCAAACACGAAAGUGGACGUAUACGGUGUGACGCCUGCCCGGUGCCGGAAGGUUAAUUGAUGGGGUCAGCGCAAGCGAAGCUCUUGAUCGAAGCCCCGGUAAACGGCGGCCGUAACUAUAACGGUCCUAAGGUAGCGAAAUUCCUUGUCGGGUAAGUUCCGACCUGCACGAAUGGCGUAAUGAUGGCCAGGCUGUCUCCACCCGAGACUCAGUGAAAUUGAACUCGCUGUGAAGAUGCAGUGUACCCGCGGCAAGACGGAAAGACCCCGUGAACCUUUACUAUAGCUUGACACUGAACAUUGAGCCUUGAUGUGUAGGAUAGGUGGGAGGCUUUGAAGUGUGGACGCCAGUCUGCAUGGAGCCGGCCUUGAAAUACCACCCUUUAAUGUUUGAUGUUCUAACGUGGACCCGUGAUCCGGGUUGCGGACAGUGUCUGGUGGGUAGUUUGACUGGGGCGGUCUCCUCCUAAAGAGUAACGGAGGAGCACGAAGGUUGGCUAAUCCUGGUCGGACAUCAGGAGGUUAGUGCAAUGGCAUAAGCCAGCUUGACUGCGAGCGUGACGGCGCGAGCAGGUGCGAAAGCAGGUCAUAGUGAUCCGGUGGUUCUGAAUGGAAGGGCCAUCGCUCAACGGAUAAAAGGUACUCCGGGGAUAACAGGCUGAUACCGCCCAAGAGUUCAUAUCGACGGCGGUGUUUGGCACCUCGAUGUCGGCUCAUCACAUCCUGGGGCUGAAGUAGGUCCCAAGGGUAUGGCUGUUCGCCAUUUAAAGUGGUACGCGAGCUGGGUUUAGAACGUCGUGAGACAGUUCGGUCCCUAUCUGCCGUGGGCGCUGGAGAACUGAGGGGGGCUGCUCCUAGUACGAGAGGACCGGAGUGGACGCAUCACUGGUGUUCGGGUUGUCAUGCCAAUGGCACUGCCCGGUAGCUAAAUGCGGAAGAGAUAAGUGCUGAAAGCAUCUAAGCACGAAACUUGCCCCGAGAUGAGUUCUCCCUGACCCUUUAAGGGUCCUGAAGGAACGUUGAAGACGACGACGUUGAUAGGCCGGGUGUGUAAGCGCAGCGAUGCGUUGAGCUAACCGGUACUAAUGAACCGUGAGGCUUAACCUU